rnacentral:tRNA from 1 species
GGGGAUGUGGCUCAGUGAUAGAGCACUUGCCUCGCAUGUGUGAGGCACUGAGUUCAAUCCUCAGCACCA